AUGUCUCUGUUGGCAGAUGUCCGGUGUGAGCUGCAGCAGGUGGAGUCUGACGGAUGCUUUCUGAAGCCGGGAGGGUCACUGACACUGCCUUGUCCAGCCUUGGGAAAAACUUCAACAAUUAUUCAUGCAACAAAUCUCCCAGGCUCCAGAGAAGAGGCUGUAGUUGGUCUCAACAUCUGUGGAGAUAGUAGUGACAUAAAGUAUGAGGACGCCAUGAAGGGAUGGCUCACCACUUAUAAGGAGAAUGCAAAGAACACACUGCAUCUGCGAAUGAACAGCCAGAGAACCAAGGACACAGCCACGUAUUACUGUGCAAUAAUAGUAGUAAAUAUGAGUCCUGACACAAACCUCCCUGCAGAGGUGUUCUUGACCACCAGAUGGCGCGCUGAUCCAUGGAGAACCAGGCAGGGCCACUGA